GGGUUUGAUUCUGGCUCAGAUUGAACGCUGGCGGAAUGCUUUACACAUGCAAGUCGAACGGCAGCACGGGGCAACCUGGUGGCGAGUGGCGAACGGGUGAGUAAUAUAUCGGAACGUGCCCAAUCGUGGGGGAUAACGUAGCGAAAGUUACGCUAAUACCGCAUACGAUCUACGGAUGAAAGCGGGGGAUCGCAAGACCUCGCGCGAAUGGAGCGGCCGAUAUCAGAUUAGGUAGUUGGUGGGGUAAAGGCUCACCAAGCCAACGAUCUGUAGCUGGUCUGAGAGGACGACCAGCCACACUGGAACUGAGACACGGUCCAGACUCCUACGGGAGGCAGCAGUGGGGAAUUUUGGACAAUGGGCGCAAGCCUGAUCCAGCCAUUCCGCGUGCAGGAUGAAGGCCUUCGGGUUGUAAACUGCUUUUGUACGGAACGAAACGGUCUGCCCUAAUACGGCGGGCUAAUGACGGUACCGUAAGAAUAAGCACCGGCUAACUACGUGCCAGCAGCCGCGGUAAUACGUAGGGUGCAAGCGUUAAUCGGAAUUACUGGGCGUAAAGCGUGCGCAGGCGGUUAUAUAAGA
rnacentral:rRNA from 1 species